UACGGAGGGGGCUAGCGUUGUUCGGAAUUACUGGGCGUAAAGCGCACGUAGGCGGCUUUGUAAGUUAGAGGUGAAAGCCCAGGGCUCAACCCUGGAAUUGCCUUUAAGACUGCAUCGCUUGAAUCAUGGAGAGGUGAGUGGAAUUCCGAGUGUAGAGGUGAAAUUCGUAGAUAUUCGGAAGAAACACCAGUGGCGAAGGCGGACUCACUGGACAUGUAUUGACGCUGAGG
rnacentral:rRNA from 1 species